rnacentral:rRNA from 1 species
AGUGAACGCUGGCGGUAGGCCUAACACAUGCAAGUCGAACGGCAGCACAGUAAGAGCUUGCUCUUACGGGUGGCGAGUGGCGGACGGGUGAGGAAUACAUCGGAAUCUACUUUUUCGUGGGUGAUAACGUAGGGAAACUUACGCUAAUACCGCAUACGACCUACGGGUGAAAGCAGGGGAUCUUCGGACCUUGCGCGAUUGUAUGAGCCGAUGUCGGAUUAGCUAGUUGGCGGGGUAAAGGCCCACCAAGGCGACGAUCCGUAGCUGGUCUGAGAGGAUGAUCAGCCACACUGGAACUGAGACACGGUCCAGACUCCUACGGGAGGCAGCAGUGGGGAAUAUUGGACAAUGGGCGCAAGCCUGAUCCAGCCAUACCGCGUGGGUGAAGAAGGCCUUCGGGUUGUAAAGCCCUUUUGUUGGGAAAGAAAAGCAGCAGGUUAAUACCCCGCUGUUCUGACGGUACCCGAAGAAUAAGCACCGGCUAACUUCGUG